rnacentral:rRNA from 1 species
GAGACUCUGUGCGCGUGCAUAUCAAUAAGCGGAGGAAAAGAAACUAACAAGGAUUCCCUUAGUAACGGCGAGUGAAGCGGGAAGAGCUCAAAUUUGAAAUCUUAAAGGGUUCUACCUUGACGAAUUGUAGUUUAAAGAAGUGUUUUCUGUUGGAAGUUUUCGGUAAAAGUUCUUUGGAAUAGGACAUCAUAGAGGGUGAGAAUCCCGUAUUUGACCGUUACUUUCCAGCUGUGUGAUACACUUUCAAGGAGUCGGAUUGUUUGGGAAUGCAGUCCAAAAUGGGUGGUAAAUUUCAUCUAAAGCUAAAUAUUGGCGAGAGACCGAUAGCGAACAAGUACCGUGAGGGAAAGAUGAAAAGAACCUUUGAAAAGAGAGUUAAACAGUACGUGAAAUUGUCAAAAGGGAAGCGUUUGACACCAGUGUUGUUUUCUCGAAAAUCAAUUAAAAAGAGUUGGAUUUUGUAUUGUUAAGACCUUAUCAGCUUACUGUACUUUUUUCUUGCUCUUUUUAAUGCACUUUUCGUUUAACAAGUCAACAUCAAUUUCUUUUGUUGUAAAAGGGUCAUUGGAAGGUGGCUUUCACUUCGGUGAAAGUGUUUAUAGCCUUUGGCUUCUACAAUCGGAGAGAUUGAGGUCUGCAGCGUAGAUCCUUCGGGGUUAGAUACGUAGAUGCUAAGUUAUAGUUUUUUAUAGACAACUUGUUGACUAUGAUUAAUCAUGUAGCUUACUCGUUUACGCUAUUUUACCUACGCUUAGGAUGUUGACAGCAGUAUAGACUGU